AGUGGGGAAUUUUCCGCAAUGGGCGAAAGCCUGACGGAGCAAUACCGCGUGAGGGAAGACUGCCUAUGGGUUGUAAACCUCUUUUUUCAGGGAGGAAUAUAAUGACGUGUACCUGAAGAAUAAGCAUCGGCUAACUCCGUGCCAGCAGCCGCGGUAAGACGGAGGAUGCAAGUGUUAUCCGGAAUCACUGGGCGUAAAGCGUUUGUAGGUGGUUUAAUAAGUCAACUGUUAAAUCUUGAGGCUCAACUUCAAAUCAGCAGUUGAAACUAUUAGACUAGAGUAUAGUAGAGGUAAAGGGAAUUUCCAGUGGAGCGGUGAAAUGCGUAGAGAUUGGAAAGAACACCGAUGGCGAAGGCACUUUACUGGGCUAUUACUAACACUCAGAAACGAAAGCUAGGGUAGCAAA
rnacentral:rRNA from 1 species